UUACUAAAAUAAAAAGUGUUUUCUCCUUCCCAAAUUAUUUUUUUGUUAGACACAAUCCACUCCUCUUCUUCUCACCACAACCCACCUCUCCAUCGCCAAAGAAAAUCUCAUGGUCUUCUUCUGGUGCGAUUUCCAUUUAAGAAUCCACAUCGUCAACGUUAGACCACAUAGCGAAGGAGCUAUGUACUACUCGAAAUCCAAAUCCAGGAAUCAAGAGUUGGAGUUUUUCAAUGAGUAUGGGAUGGGGAAGCCAACAGAUACAAGAUUAUUGGAAAGGGUAGUUAUGGAGCUGUUUGUGCGGCAAUUGACACACACUGUCACACACUGGGGAAAAAGGUCGCAAUAAAGAAGAUUCAGGAUGCUUUUGAGCAUAAUUUUGCAGGUUACAAAUGAUAAUGCAAGGAAGUACUUUUUGAGAAUGCGAAAGAAACCUCCUGUGCCAUUUGAAUGAAAAUUCCCAAAUGCUAAUCCAUUGGCACUUCGCCUUUUGCAAAGGCUUUUAACCUUUGAUCCAAAGGAUCCACAGACUGUUGAACAGUGCAAUUGACCAAUUAAGAAAGCAAUUUGCUCAUCUUGAGGAAAAUGAUGGUAAAAGUGGACCGGUGCUUCCGACUGAAAGAAAGCAUGUCUCACUUCCCCGGUAAGAUCAACCAAAACCAAACACGGAGGUCUUUCCCUUUGCUGUAUUUAACAUGCUGGUUAUUGAUGUUUCAAUUACAGGUUUUAUGUCAGAAUGUUGUAGAUAACUAUUCCAAGUAGUUAUCUUAAUAGAGUAAGGCUUGCAUAGGCACAAAUCCAAAUAAUAUUUUAUUUUGGCACACACUAAUCCAAAAAUUUAAAACAAAAAUAAUAUAAUCACAUCAAUCAACAUCAUUUUAUUUCUUUUCUCUUUAAUUUUUGUUUAAUUGUGUGAGUGUGCCUAAAACCUCUUAUUUAUAUUUGUGCCUAUAACAAAAUUUUCCAUCUAAAUAUAAUCAUUCCUCUUUUGUAGGUCCACUGUUCACUCUAGUUCAAUUCUUCCAAGUUACCAGUCAUCCCUUGAUUCUAAAAGGAAUGUCAUAUAUUAGAGAACAACUUUUUUUUUAGGACAACGGAAUGAUCAUUAAAUUUUGAUUUAUUUAAUUGAUCUGAGAAACCUUGGUAUCACAAAAGAGUGCUCACAACUUUUAUGCAUUUCAAGAGUUAAUAAUUUGGAAAGUUCAUCAUUCUGUUAUUGCUUUUAUAGCUUCUUUUGGAGGUGUUUGUAUUUAAUUCAUUUUCUUAUUUUGCAAUGCUGGUUUUGACUAUGAUAUUGUAUCUUUGAAUCUUGAAGCAUCCUUCAAGAACAAUAUAGGUUCAGCCUUCGAUGACUGAAGUUGAGACAGACUCAAGCCUUCAAAAUAUUCAAAGCAUAAAUUCAGUGCCUGUAAGGUUAUUGUGCUAGAACAAGUUUGUUUCUCGCUUAUUGUGCUAGAACGAUUCAUGGUACACAAUAGGAGUUGAUAUUGUUUGUUCUUAGGCAGUUCUCUUGUUAUCAAGUAAUAAUGGUUAGUGCAAGAUAAACUAGAGGGCCAUCUUAAAGUCUCAUUCAAAAUAUUUAGAAAGUAAGCACUUGAAAUUCAUUCUUUUUCUCUUUUAACUUCAGUACAAAUUUGUUUUUGCAAUGAAAACUUAUGAUUUCUCCUCUAUUUCUACUGUUCAGACCUCAAGACUCCAAGUUGAGGUACAUAUAUUCAUUCGUAAAGAACAUAAAUCCUCAGUGCCCUGCUUUGCAUAUUUUUAGAUAUAUUUUGUUUGAAAUGCAGCAUUUACACUGCAAUUUAACUAUUGCAUGGACAUCCAACUUAAAUUUAAGAGUUUCCUAUAAAAACUAAAACAUUUUUUCACUAGGUGGAAACUUUAUAAAUUAAUUAUUAAUGAUGCUACCAUAUCAAUUGUUUGGCUUUAGCAUAUAAACCUGUCAUGCCAAUAUUGUUAGAAACUGUCUGUUGUGAAAAAAUAGUAGUGAGGAUCAGAAUCUAGAGAGUGUUUGGCUUACACAUUAUAAGAUAUAUUAUUAUUUUCUGCAUUUUGUAUUAGCAGUAAACUAGGAUUACCUUAAUAUAAUAUAAUGUCAUGUCCUUGAUUUAUUUCCCCUCAAAAGUUGUCUAGCUGAGACCACUGCUCAUUUAUAGUUCUAAACUAAUGAUAAAUUGAUAAUGAUAACAUGCAUUAUCCUUAAUUUUCUUUGCUGAAAUAUAACUACUGCAAUGGUAGAAGUCCUGCAAUCAAACGCAAUAUAGCUUUGCGGUAUUAGGUAUGUCCUGUCAUUUUUCUAGUAUCCACAAACAAAAAUCUGGUUUGUUGAGUUUUGGUGAGUUGUUGGUGGGACUGGUAUUAGGUAUGUUCUGUCAUUCACAUCACAUGGAACCCUGUUUCGGUGAGCACACUGCUAAAGGUUUUGAUGAAUGAUCCUCUAGUUACCUAUUUGUAGUUAGUGAUCUGAUGGUUCCUUAUAGUUACAUUUUGCAAAUCUCAAUAUUGUUAUCAUCUUUGAAGCCGAUUUACCUUGUUGGUGAUUCUUUAGGUGGAUGCCUUGCACUCGUUGCUGCUCGUAAUCCAACGGUUGAUCUAGUACUUAUUUUAGUCAAUCCUGGUGAGUCUAUCAAAAUUUGUUCACAUAUUUAUAUCCAUAUUGUAGUAUAUUAAAACUUUGAUUAAGCACGUUAUUAUAUUAAUUAACUAAAAAUGCAGGUAAAAGUGUGACAAAACAAGGGUUGGUAAUGACUUUUGUACAACCUGUAGUUCACAUAUAUGCAGGGAUUUUUAUAAAUUGGGUUGAAAGACUAUGAUUAUGAGGUUCUGUUGACAUAUUCCAUCAUUCCAUGCCUAAUUAAUUUCUUAGCACUGCUUUGGAUUUUGUGUAGGGCUUAUUUCUUCAGAUUAAAUUUGUUUGUAGGGAUUUUAUUAAUGCAUAUAGAUGUUUUUAUUUGAUAAAUUUCUUCCAAUUUGCAGAUUUUACAAGUUGAACAAAGGAAUGCUCUUUGAUAUAAUUUGACCUGCUCAAAAUUCUUCUUGUAAUGGAAAUUGACACAAGAUAGAGGAACCGUGAUAUUAGGUGUUAUAUCUUAGUAUUUUAGAGGCAUCUUGGUUGUAUGUUGUAGUUAGUUUUUGUAUUGUUAUAUCUUAGUAUUCACAGAUGAUACGUAAUGAUAAUUUAAUCUUGGUUAUGUUCUA